rnacentral:rRNA from 1 species
GGCGUGCCUAAUACAUGCAAGUCGAACGCUUCUUUCCUCCCGAGUGCUUGCACUCAAUUGGAAAGAGGAGUGGCGGACGGGUGAGUAACACGUGGGUAACCUACCCAUCAGAGGGGGAUAACACUUGGAAACAGGUGCUAAUACCGCAUAACAGUUUAUGCCGCAUGGCAUAAGAGUGAAAGGCGCUUUCGGGUGUCGCUGAUGGAUGGACCCGCGGUGCAUUAGCUAGUUGGUGAGGUAACGGCUCACCAAGGCCACGAUGCAUAGCCGACCUGAGAGGGUGAUCGGCCACACUGGGACUGAGACACGGCCCAGACUCCUACGGGAGGCAGCAGUAGGGAAUCUUCGGCAAUGGACGAAAGUCUGACCGAGCAACGCCGCGUGAGUGAAGAAGGUUUUCGGAUCCUAAAACUCUGUUGUUAGAGAAGAACAAGGACGUUAGUAACUGAACGUCCCCUGACGGUAUCUAACCAGAAAGCCACGGCUAACUACGUGCCAGCAGCCGCGGUAAUACGUAGGUGGCAAGCGUUGUCCGGAUUUAUUGGGCGUAAAGCGAGCGCAGGCGGUUUCUUAAGUCUGAUGUGAAAGCCCCCGGCUCAACCGGGGAGGGUCAUUGGAAACUGGGAGACUUGAGUGCAGAAGAGGAGAGUGGAAUUCCAUGUGUAGCGGUGAAAUGCGUAGAUAUAUGGAGGAACACCAGUGGCGAAGGCGGCUCUCUGGUCUGUAACUGACGCUGAGGCACGAAAGCGUGGGGAGCAAACAAAAGUAGAUACCCUGGUAGUCCACGCCGUAAACGAUGAGUGCUAAGUGUUAGGGGGUUUCCGCCCCUUAGUGCUGCAGCUAACGCAUUAAGCACUCCGCCUGGGGAGUACGACCGCAAGGUUGAAACUCAAAGGAAUUGACGGGGACCCGCACAAGCGGUGGAGCAUGUGGUUUAAUUCGAAGCAACGCGAAGAACCUUACCAAAUCUUGACAUCCUUUGACCGCUCUAGAGAUAGAGUUUUCCCCUUCGGGGGACAAAGUGACAGGUGGUGCAUGGUUGUCGUCAGCUCGUGUCGUGAGAUGUUGGGUUAAGUCCCGCAACGAGCGCAACCCUUAAGCUUAGUUGCCAUCAUUAAGUUGGGCACUCUAGGUUGACUGCCGGUGACAAACCGGAGGAAGGUGGGGAUGACGUCAAAUCAUCAUGCCCCUUAUGAUUUGGGCUACACACGUGCUACAAUGGAUAAUACAAAGGGCAGCGAACCCGCGAGGUCAAGCAAAUCCCAUAAAAUUAUUCUCAGUUCGGAUUGUAGUCUGCAACUCGACUACAUGAAGCUGGAAUCGCUAGUAAUCGUAGAUCAGCAUGCUACGGUGAAUACGUUCCCGGGUCUUGUACACACCGCCCGUCACACCACGAGAGUUUGUAACACCCGAAGCCGGUGGAGUAACCUUUUAUUAGGAGCUAGCCGUCGAAGGUGGGACAGAUGAUUGG